rnacentral:rRNA from 1 species
AUGGAGGCAACUCUGAUCCAGCCAUGCCGCGUGCAGGAAGACGGUCCUAUGGAUUGUAAACUGCUUUUAUACAGGAAGAAACACUCCCUCGUGAGGGAGCUUGACGGUACUGUAGGAAUAAGGAUCGGCUAACUCCGUGCCAGCAGCCGCGGUAAUACGGAGGAUCCAAGCGUUAUCCGGAAUCAUUGGGUUUAAAGGGUCCGUAGGCGGCCUUAUAAGUCAGUGGUGAAAUCUCCUAGCUCAACUAGGAAACUGCCAUUGAAACUGUAGGGCUUGAAUUAUUAGGAAGUAACUAGAAUAUGUAGUGUAGCGGUGAAAUGCUUAGAUAUUACAUGGAAUACCAAUUGCGAAGGCAGGUUACUACUAAUGGAUUGACGCUGAUGGACGAAAGCGUGGGUAGCGAACAGGAUUAGAUACCCUGGUAGUCCACGCCGUAAACGAUGGAUACUAGCUGUUCGGAGCAAUCUGAGUGGCUAAGCGAAAGUGAUAAGUAUCCCACCUGGG